rnacentral:lncRNA from 1 species
UCGGAGCGACGCUAGUCCCCGGCGGCCGGCACCGGGCCGCGAGGGCUAGCCUGGGAGUACCGUGGGGGCGGGACGGCUGCACCUCGGGGUAGUAGUUUUUUGAGUUUAAGAGGUGGAAGGGAUCCUCCUAGCCGGAUUGCUGCAGCCUAAGCUGGGCACUGGCCGUAUCGAACCCCAGGAAGGGGAAGCGAACGCGUGGAAUUUCCGCAAACUGGACGAAAAUCCGUCUUCCACUGGAGCUGGAAAUAGACUUUGUAAAAGAUAUUAUGUAAUGGAGUCUUGGGAAGCCCGAGACGUCUCCAGCCAAACUGCUGGGCAAUAUAUUAAGAACUGGGAACCACUAAAGAUCUGAGCCUGGACAAGCAAUAAUAUGGAGGCCACUACCCAUCCUUCUUGAGACUCCAUAGGUAGACUUAGAAAUAGAAACGUGGUAUUUCACCUGCAUGUGUGUCUGUGAAUCUCUUGCAUGC